rnacentral:rRNA from 1 species
UACGUAGGGGGCAAGCGUUGUCCGGAUUUAUUGGGCGUAAAGAGCUCGUAGGCGGUGUGUCACGUCGGCCGUGAAAACCUGGGGCUUAACUCUGGGCGUGCGGUCGAUACGGGCAUCACUAGAGUUCGGCAGGGGAGACUGGAAUUCCUGGUGUAGCGGUGAAAUGCGCAGAUAUCAGGAGGAACACCGGUGGCGAAGGCGGGUCUCUGGGCCGAUACUGACGCUGAGGAGCGAAAGCAUGGGUAGCGAACAGG